rnacentral:rRNA from 1 species
UACAGAGGGGGCAAGCGUUGUUCGGAAUUACUGGGCGUAAAGGGCGCGUAGGCGGCCAUCUAAGUCGAACGUGAAAUCCCCGGGCUCAACCCGGGAACUGCGUCCGAUACUGGUUGGCUCGAAUCCGGGAGAGGGAUGCGGAAUUCCAGGUGUAGCGGUGAAAUGCGUAGAUAUCUGGAGGAACACCGGUGGCGAAGGCGGCAUCCUGGACCGGCAUUGACGCUGAGGCGCGAAAGCCAGGGGAGCAAACGGG